GCCUUUCCACUUCUCCUCCGCAGCCAUUUUCACCUGCAAGUUCAAGGAGGAAAAAGCAGCAGAAAAAAAACAACAGCAAACAGUUGGAAACCAGGAAGCAAUGAGACAAAUUGCCUUUGACACACUGCUGUGACCAAAGAAGAUACAGGAACAGGACACAGAAGAACAGUUCACCAGUUCUCAAACGUUUUGCACAACAUUAGGUGAUCAUAAAUAUUCCAACCUGCAAAAGGACAAGUUCCCUUUGGGAUGCAAAAGGACAAGUUCCCUUUGGGACUGGGCUCCAUUCAGGCCUAUCAGUCCCACAUUUACUGCAAAAAUAAUAUGAAAAUAAAAGCUAUGCCUCUGGUGCAGGGACCAGUACAGCUGCCUGUGAAAUAAUUUUUCUCCUUCAUCCUCAGCUCAAACUGCUCCUGUUUGUUUUGCUGACAGCAUUAGGAAAGUUGAGUCCAGCUGCAGCCUCUGAGAAGGACUUUGAUGUGUCCCAUGGUCAUUGCUGUGCUUUGCUUCUAUACAACCUGCCACUGGUCUUUUCCUAGAAAUAAGAUCCCUGCACCACACGGAUCGUGAGCUGGGGCAAGCUAUUAUUUUUUAGAGUGUAGAUGUGCACACUUUCAAGUGAUGGGCUUCCAGCUGCUCUCCUGAUGGUGCCAGCAGCAAACUGAGACCUCAGGCAGAGGUGACAACAGCUUAUAUCAAAUUCAACCUGGGUAACAACCUGGUCCAAGGCUCACUUCCAUCACCUGAAAUUUCUACUGACUACCUUGAGAUCCAAUCAGUUUCUAAUCACCCAUUUCACUUUAUAGUUUAAAUGAAAAUGUUUCCUUUCUUCCACACCCUAGCUAAAUAGCAAUUAGGAGCCCAUCACACUACAAGUGACUCCCAGGGGAUGCAGACCAUCUAUGGAUCAUUUUAGAGCCCUAAAAGAAAAAACUGCAACAGGAGCUGCUCUUUUUAAAGAGAAUUUAUUAUCUGCAUGCCAUCUGUCAUGGUCCUUUAAGAAAGGUGUCUGUCCUGCCUUCCCAUUCAGAAACCUUAAACAUCCAAACUUCCAGACCAAUUUUCCCAGGAAUAAUCUAACGCUAAAGUUUCAAUAAUUUUACAAUUAUUUGCCAUGUCUGCUAACCUCUGGGCACAUUAUGGGAGACAGCACUGAAAAUAAAACCCCCUUCCCUGACAGAUUUAUUGAUUUCUUAACUUGCGCUCAUAUGAAAAGUGAAGCAGCUUAAAAAGAUCCAUGAGCAGUACAACUGUUUAACCUAAUUUCCUAAUAACAUAAAACAUGGAGCAAUAAUGGAGCAACACCACAGUGGCUCCUGGCAUGCAACAAACAAUUCAGAGUGCUGAGCAGCUAAAAUACCCAGAGAAAGUUUCUGGGAGGCUUUGCUUGGAAGAUGUUCAGAUCAAUGUACUUCCCUCUACACAGGUAUCCUUUUCCUUAUAAACAUGUAGGAAACAAUGGACUUGGGAUUUUCAGACAUACAGUGUAAAAAAAGGGCAGUGUGGGAUUUACUAAAGAAAACUUGGGCCAAGAAGUUUUGCCACAAAUCCAAGAUGAGGGAAUUGAGAGUUAAAAACAUAUUCCAAAAGUUAGUUAUUUAUUCCAAAAGUUUUUACAUCUCAUGGCACUGGAAUUCCGAUCCCUGCCUCAAACAAUGUAGUUCGGCAAUCAACAGCAUUGUCAUAAUCUGAACUGUCAAACAAAGCCCUUUGUUUUCUUGAGAAAUGAUGUAUUUUAUACAGCAGAUAACACAACCCUGUUUGGAAAGCAGAAAGAUAAUUCCUUUGGGGUUUUAAAGCUGUACGAUACACAAGUUCCCUGCAGCUGAAAGAGGAAACAGAGACAGACUGGCAUUGUGUUUGCACUAAACUGUGACAACGGCUAAAGGCAACCAAACCAUCAUCUCCACAACCUCCCAAAGUUAAUGAGGCAUCUCAUUAACUUCAGAGGAGCGAUUGUUGGUAAUUAUUCAGACGGGGCUGACCAAAGAGUUCCGUGUAAGGUACAGCGGGAACAGCACAGCCCAACACAUCACACACAACGCUGUGACUGUGGAAACAUUUGGGCAAAAGAGAUUUUCUGGGGACCUGCACAUGGCUCCAGAGGUGCUUUUAAUCUGUAGAUACGAGGUAUAAAUACGGAAUGGCGUUAAUUCAGUUCUGUCUCAAUGCAAGAACACAUAAAUGCGUUAUGGAUGGGCCACAGUGAUCAGAGCUCGGAGGGACAGGGACAUGGAGAAGCCCAAAGCAUAGGAGUUGGAAAAGUGAGCGUGUUUAAUUCAGUUAAUCUUAAAGUUUGCACAGCAGCGGCUGAGAAGCGAUGUCCUCACAGUGAAGUGAGCAAAGCUGCGGAGAGGGAACAGUACAUGGAGAAGCGUGAAGGCAGCACCUUAGCUGGGGAAGCUGUGAGGGCGGACACCGCCACAGCUGCCCGUGUUCACGUUUACCACAAGUCCUUCACGUCUGAAGUCUCUGCCGAUCCAUCCCAGGCAUUUAUUUACGGAAAGCGGCGCUUCUGGCCACGCUGAGGGGAGGGAAGCAGCGGCCAGAGCACGGGAGCGGCCUGAGGGGACGGUCCCGCCCGCUCGCCCCUCAGGCCGCGGUGCUGCCCCCGCUCAGCCCCUCUCCCACCCGCCCGGCCCGGCGCGGCCCCGACCUGCCGCCGGCCCGGCCGAGUACCGAGCACCGGGAACCGAGCACCGCGAGCCGGGAACCGAGCACCGACUACCGCCGCCAGAGCCCGCCCCUUCCUGCCCAGCCCGGCCUGCCCGCCGGCACUGCGCCAUCGGCGCGGCCAAGCCACAGUGUAUUACCCAGUCACUAUCCAAAAUCAGGAGCUAGCCAGGUAAGGAGUAAAAUACAGAUGGUUUCUCAGCAAGAAUCCCAUGGAAGGAAGGAAUGAAAGAAGGACGGGAAGAAUCACUAAUCCCAAAAAGCCAGAUGAGGUCAAUGUUAGCAGCAGAAGACACACAGUACCACACUGGUAGCCUCAAGUGCUCCUGAAUGCUCACACUGCCUGUACCACCAAGUCCCAGCCCCUCCCUCCUGGAGAGGAGCAGCAGAAAGAAAUGAAACAAUUGCAGAUGAGGAGAGCAGGGAGUUCAGGAAGGCUCUAAUCUCAUGAACUCGCUGGAAGGGGAUGAGGUGAGAAGAACUUGUUCUUAUUUGCUGAGAAAUAGAAGGUUUGUCGUAAGCAAACUUCGUCAAAGUGCCUGAGCACUGCUGCGUUUCUGCUGAUGUGGCAUGUGGUGGUGCUUGAUGGACUUUUGGAUGACCCCAAAUUUUAGGAGCCUGAAUAUCUCUCUGUUGCAGAAGCUGGUAUCAAAGUGCGGGAAUGUCUGGAAGUAGGCUGGUGAACUGCAAGACUCAUUUAUCUUUAAAAAGAAAAUAUUCUUUUGCAUUUCAUAUAACUCUUUGUCAGCAAGUUCAUGCUGCUAAAAAGAUCCGGGAAAGUAGAAAACAGACUUGCCACUAUUACAAUAGUUUAGAAGCUUCAAAUUUGCUCUGUCAGUUCCCAUGUCCAAAAUGGAAAUGUCUUUAAAUUGCCUGAUUCCUAAUUACUAGAACAAUAUAAAAAUACCUUGCAGAUGUUGGAAGUUGGAACAGACACCAAGAGGGACAACUACACUCCUAACAUAAAAAGGUGAAAACUAGUUGGGAUGAAUCUAUGCUCCAUGUCUAACUACUCUGUGUUCUACCAGUGGAUGGGGGUGACUUGUCUGUGUCUUUUGUCUUUUGUGCUGGAAAAAUAGUUUUUUGUUGUCCUCCACUGACAAAGUUUUCAGCCAAGCCCUGAUUCCGGCUCCGCUUUGUCUCUGGUGUCACGAGUGAUGCUCCCUGGCUGGCAUAUGCCUUGUGCUUAUCUGCCCAUUAAUGCUCCUCUGGCCAAUUACUGCCUCAUUAAUCAUUUGCAAUCAGUUUAUGUACUCACGCUGUUUUCCCGAUUUUAGUGUGUUUGCAUAACAAAAUGUGUUUCUAUGAAAUGCUUUGUAUGGAAUUGUUUAUAGCAGGAAAUAGAUAUAAAAGAA